AUAGGGGAACGCGCGCGAAGGGAACUAUCGCAGAGCUGCCGUCGCCGCCGUGUUGAUGGGCUCACCGUCGUUCUGCUCGCGCGGCUGUUGCGUUGCCGGAGCUCCUCAUCGCUGCUGCUGGCGCUGGAAACCACCUUUUAAGCCUGUAUCUGUUGGGAGGAGUCCGAGCAAGAAAAGGAAGAAGGUGGCGAUGGAUACCUCCGCUGCUGCUGUUACUAUCGGUGUUCUGGAGCUUGCAGUUACUGCCGUUUUUGGAUGAUGAACCUGGUUGUGUCCUUGCUGCUGAUUGAUUGUAAUGAGAGACGUUGUAGCCACUACUUUUCAUCUUGCCACUGUUGAUUUAUCUAUUGCAAAGUCAUAAUUGAUAAUGGAGCUGCUAAGAUCGCUGCUGCCGCCAUGAAUUGGGGAUAAAGGGGAUUAUUGAGUUAAAUUCUGCGAUUGAAACAUCGAGGUAGGGGUUUUCUUAAAAUCUAUUUUAUAUUACAGAGUUGUGAUAAAUAGAUAUUGAUGCAAAGAGAUUUACUUCUGUGAUUAUAUUUGUCUUAUGGAUGUGAUGGUUUGUUGGACUGAAUUAUUGGGUGCUUGAUUGCGUGAGUGGUGUGUGGUUGUGGAUAAAAACCGGUUUGGAAUGUCAUUUACUUGAUUAUUAAGA